AACGAACGCUGGCGGCAUGCCUAACACAUGCAAGUCGAACGGAACCGCCGUGUCUAUGGGCGCACCUGUGCUUAACGCGUGGUAAGCUGCCCGUGGGUACCGAAUACCUCCCCUUAGGGUAUCCUAAGACAGGAGAAGGUCAUCGGGCCAACGAGUUAUCGCCGUUGGAUGGGGCCGCGUUGGAUUAGCUGGUUGGUAGGGUAAUAGCCGAUCAAGGCGACGAUGCAUAGCUGGUCGGAGAGGAUGCUCAGCCACACUGGGAAUGAGACACGGCCCAGACUCCUACGGGAGGCAGGAGUGGGGAAUAUUGGACAAUGGGCGAAAGCCUGAUCCAGCAACGCCGGGUGAGUGAUGAAGGCGUUAGGGUUGUACAGCUGUUUUAGCCGAGAUGAUAAUGACAGUACCGGGAGAAUAAGCACCGGCUAACUACGUG
rnacentral:rRNA from 1 species